CCAUCUUAGUGUCAGGACGUUCAGAAGGUAGAAACGCAAGGGAACAACGGCAGAAGUGACAAAGACAAAGAAAUGUAGUGAGCAGAAGAUGAAGCCACACACAUGCUGGUGAUGGGACGCAAGCCCUGGAUAACACUGUUCUUAGAAGUUUAUUACACUGACAGCUUUGGCAACAGCAUCAAAGACAAGCACGGGCAGAUGAAGAAUAGAAGUUCCAUGGCAUGUGUUGGAUAUCACAUUUCAGUUCAGUGGAAAUCCUGCAAACGUCUCUGUGCGUUUCAACGCAUUCACUCUCUCUCCAAUUAAAGCUGUUGUUUUCACUCUGCCAAAAAUAUUUUACUCCAUAGGUCACCUCAGCGGUUGUUAUAAGAAAGCUGCUGCUAUUGUUUACAGUCUGCUGAUAUUGUGUGGCACUACGCUACUAGACAAGUGACAACAUGCUGCUUACUGAUCUUUCCCCAUCCUGAAAAACUGGCAGAUUUUGUUGAUUGCGUUACACUUCAGAACCGGUUCUUUAUAAUUUAACAAUAGGCGACUAUGGAUGAUAUACUAGAGUGAUAAUAUGCUCCAUUUUUUUUUUGUGCAAUUUAAAAAGUAACCCACAUUCAGUAUACAGGCUUUCAAUAACAUGACAACAUGAGCAGUCACGUACCCUGAUCCUGACCCCUGAUUUUGGUGACAUUUAUUAUUUACAGCAGUGCAACUGUGUGAGAGUACAUCUGAGUACAUCUGAGUCUCUGGUGAGGCCCAAGUUCACUGCAGGCCCCUUCCACCAGUCUUAAAAUGUAAUUAUAGGGUGAACUUUUUUUUUUUUUUUACACAGGUAUUUGACAACUCUGUUUAAAUUUUCCAUUUGCGUAAUAUAUUGAGCCAAGAUGAUUUGUUAAUAUUCACGAGUUGUUAUUUAACAUAAUUUCUGAUUUUUUUAAGGAAAGAAGAAAAAAAAGGAGGGACAUUAUUUUAAUUUAUUUAUUUUAGAUAAACGUAAAACCUACAAACAUUUAUUUAUUUGUUAUAUAAAUAAAUAUUUUACUGUAGGAAUAAAAGUAUUUUAGUAUGGAAGUGUGUGAUUGUGUUUUGGCUAAUUACACAAUGGUAAUGUAAAAGAAAAAUAAUGAAAACAACGAACUAGGCCAAAUAUUGUUGUUAUGUUGGACUACUCAAAGUGCACUGAAAUUUUACUCUCAAUUAUUACAAGACACAGCCCAGCUUAGUACACAUAUUAUGGACAAAUUUCAAACAAAACACAAGUGAACUAAAACAAAAAUAUAAAUAUGAUUUCCCUGUAAAUAGGAUUUAGAAUAAAAAUUCCCACAUCUCUUUAACAGUAUGCUAAAAGGUUAACAAUUUCCGUGUUCAAUUUUAAAUAAAUACAGCCCAUGUUUUAUGUAAAAGAGACAAGUCCUAUUGUCCCCCUCUAAUUAAGGGAUUUUAAUUAAAUAAAGUAAAGAUUAGGCCUGUGGGGUUUAUGUAGUAUUUGAUUUUUAUAUAUAUAUCGUUUUUUUUUUAAAGCAUGUGUUCCCUUAAGGCCAGACCUUAAUGUUGAGUGUGUGUUGAUGUUUAGAGAUGGCGCAGAUCCAGCGCGGCGCAGUCCACCCCAUCGGGACUGUAUUAGAUCUCUAAUUGAUGCCUCUCCCCUCGUCGCUGACAGUUACGCACAAACCAGGAUCAGGUCGCGGAAUUUAGCACGACCUGAAGAGGUGGCGUAGACCGCCUUCAGAACCUACAGUGGAUUAAAAACAUAAUGAGGUGAGUCGAGGUUCAGCUGCUUUGAUUGUAAAGUAACUUUUUAAACUUAAGGAUUGUCGGAUAACCGGAGCGGAGAGGCGAAUCACUUGUUUUUAUGACGAUUUUAAAGUAAUGAGUGAGCUAUUUUUAGACUACUUCUAUUUAACAGACGUCAUGGCUAAUUUACAUGUGAAAUUAAACAUGUUCAAAUUUGGAUCAAUCCACAAUCUGCCUUAAAGCUGGCAGGUAAAAUUUUAUUCAUACUAAAAAAACAAAAAAACAAAACAAAACAACAACAACAAAAAAAACAAACCCGAAAAAUAUGUUUUGUUAUGUUAAAAUUUACACGUGUUUUAAAACAUCAAAGCAGCCCCAUAAAAUAAGGCCUCGAACAGAUAUUUGUUGGAUUUAAUUUCAGGAUUAUGAUAAUAAUAAAAUAAUAAUAAAAUGAAUGAAUUAUUAAUUUUGUGAUGGAAUUUACAUAAUAGGUUUGGAAAUUUUCCGUGAGCAGACAUUAUAGAGUGUAAAAACAGGUUUACAGCUUCAUGAAUAUUACAUCUCUCCUUCAGUUCAAGUAUGUGACAUUGCUGCUUUCAGCGAGUUUAUUUAGUCUGCUAUUCAUCCUCAAAGUGCCCUCACUUGUUCUGCAGAGCAUGGCUGAGAAAGUAAAACACACCAGGGCCAUAGGAAGAAGAAGAAGAGAAGAAAAAGAAGAAAUCUCACACAGCUAAUUCUUUUUUUUUAACCAGUUUUGCUUUGUUUUAUUUGAUUAUUUGCUAUAUAAAAACAGUAUUAGUAAACGUGUGAAUUUAUAAAAGCUUGGACUGAAAUAAGUUUGAGGUUGAAAUAUAUAAACAUUACAAGCUGAAUAAUUUUUGGAUGAUCUUUCUUACUGUGCUGCACUUUGACUAAACCGUCCUGUAAGUAUAUUGUUAUGUUCGUGUCAAACAGGAAUUUUAUAUGAAUUAUUUCUCCAGUUCCCAAAAGGUCACAUUUCUCUGUGGUCAAUAAAGGUGUUGACAUCGUCA